GACGUAGGGCGCGAGCGUUGUCCGGAUUUAUUGGGCGUAAAGAGCUCGUAGGCGGCUUGUCGCGUCGACUGUGAAAUCCCGCGGCUCAACUGCGGGUCUGCAGUCGAUACGGGCAGGCUAGAGUUCGGUAGGGGAGACUGGAAUUCCUGGUGUAGCGGUGGAAUGCGCAGAUAUCAGGAGGAACACCGAGUGGCGAAGGCAGAUCUCUGGGCCGUAACUGACGCUGAGGAGCGAAAGCGUGGGGAGCGAACAGG
rnacentral:rRNA from 1 species